rnacentral:rRNA from 1 species
AUUGAACGCUGGCGGCAGGCUUAACACAUGCAAGUCGAGCGAGCGGCGGACGGGUGAGUAAUGUCUGGGAAACUGCCUGCUGGAGGGGGAUAACUACUGGAAACGGUAGCUAAUACCGCAUACCAUCAGAUGUUCCCAGAUGGGAUUAGCUAGGUGGGGGGGUAAUGGCUCACCUGGGCGACGAUCCCUAGCUGGUCUGAGAGGAUGACCGGCCACACGGGAGCUGAGACAGGGUCCAGACGACUACGGGAGGCAGCAGUGGGGAAUAUUGCACAGUGGGCGGAAGCCUGAUGCAGCGAGGCGGCGGGUGAGAAGAAGGCCUUCGGGUUGGAAAGCACGUUCAGGGAGGAGGCGUUACUCGCAGAAGAAGCACCGGCUAACUCCGUGCCAGCAGCCGCGGUAAUAC